GCGGAAAUAGCUCAGCGGUAGAGCAUCGCCUUGCCAAGGCGAGGGUCGCGGGUUCGAAUCCCGUUUUCCGCUCCA
rnacentral:tRNA from 2 species